rnacentral:rRNA from 1 species
GGUUAAGCGACUAAGCGUACACGGUGGAUGCCCUGGCAGUCAGAGGCGAUGAAGGACGUGCUAAUCUGCGAAAAGCGUCGGUAAGGUGAUAUGAACCGUUAUAACCGGCGAUGUCCGAAUGGGGAAACCCAGUGCAAUUCGUUGCACUAUCGUUAACUGAAUACAUAGGUUAACGAGGCGAACCGGGGGAACUGAAACAUCUAAGUACCCCGAGGAAAAGAAAUCAACCGAGAUUCCCCCAGUAGCGGCGAGCGAACGGGGAGCAGCCCAGAGUCUGAAUCAGCUUGUGUGUUAGUGGAACGGUCUGGAAAGUCCGACGGUACAGGGUGAUAGUCCCGUACACCAAAAUGCACAGGUUGUGAACUCGAAGAGUAGGGCGGGACACGUGGUAUCCUGUCUGAAUAUGGGGGGACCAUCCUCCAAGGCUAAAUACUCCUGACUGACCGAUAGUGAACCAGUACCGUGAGGGAAAGGCGAAAAGAACCCCGGCGAGGGGAGUGAAAAAGAACCUGAAACCGUGUACGUACAAGCAGUGGGAGCACCUUCGGGUGUGACUGCGUACCUUUUGUAUAAUGGGUCAGCGACUUAUAUUCUGUAGCAAGGUUAACCGUAUAGGGGAGCCGCAGGGAAACCGAGUCUUAACUGGGCGUUAAGUUGCAGGGUAUAGACCCGAAACCCGGUGAUCUAGCCAUGGGCAGGUUGAAGGUUGGGUAACACUAACUGGAGGACCGAACCGACUAAUGUUGAAAAAUUAGCGGAUGACUUGUGGCUGGGGGUGAAAGGCCAAUCAAACCGGGAGAUAGCUGGUUCUCCCCGAAAGCUAUUUAGGUAGCGCCUCGUGAAUUCAUCUUCGGGGGUAGAGCACUGUUUCGGCUAGGGGGUCAUCCCGACUUACCAACCCGAUGCAAACUACGAAUACCGAAGAAUGUUAUCACGGGAGACACACGGCGGGUGCUAACGUCCGUCGUGAAGAGGGAAACAACCCAGACCGCCAGCUAAGGUCCCAAAGUCAUGGUUAAGUGGGAAACGAUGUGGGAAGGCACAGACAGCCAGGAUGUUGGCUUAGAAGCAGCCAUCAUUUAAAGAAAGCGUAAUAGCUCACUGGUCGAGUCGGCCUGCGCGGAAGAUGUAACGGGGCUAAACCAUGCACCGAAGCUGCGGCAGCGACACUAUGUGUUGUUGGGUAGGGGAGCGUUCUGUAAGCCUGCGAAGGUGUGCUGUGAGGCAUGCUGGAGGUAUCAGAAGUGCGAAUGCUGACAUAAGUAACGAUAAAGCGGGUGAAAAGCCCGCUCGCCGGAAGACCAAGGGUUCCUGUCCAACGUUAAUCGGGGCAGGGUGAGUCGACCCCUAAGGCGAGGCCGAAAGGCGUAGUCGAUGGGAAACAGGUUAAUAUUCCUGUACUUGGUGUUACUGCGAAGGGGGGACGGAGAAGGCUAUGUUAGCCGGGCGACGGUUGUCCCGGUUUAAGCAUGUAGGCUGGUUGUCCAGGCAAAUCCGGAUAAUCAAGGCUGAGGUGUGAUGACGAGGCACUACGGUGCUGAAGUAACAAAUGCCCUGCUUCCAGGAAAAGCCUCUAAGCAUCAGGUAACAUUAAAUCGUACCCCAAACCGACACAGGUGGUCAGGUAGAGAAUACCAAGGCGCUUGAGAGAACUCGGGUGAAGGAACUAGGCAAAAUGGUGCCGUAACUUCGGGAGAAGGCACGCUGGUGUGUAGGUGAAGUCCCUGCGGAUGGAGCUGAGACCAGUCGAAGAUACCAGCUGGCUGCAACUGUUUAUUAAAAACACAGCACUGUGCAAACACGAAAGUGGACGUAUACGGUGUGACGCCUGCCCGGUGCCGGAAGGUUAAUUGAUGGGGUUAUCCGUAAGGAGAAGCUCUUGAUCGAAGCCCCGGUAAACGGCGGCCGUAACUAUAACGGUCCUAAGGUAGCGAAAUUCCUUGUCGGGUAAGUUCCGACCUGCACGAAUGGCGUAAUGAUGGCCAGGCUGUCUCCACCCGAGACUCAGUGAAAUUGAACUCGCUGUGAAGAUGCAGUGUACCCGCGGCAAGACGGAAAGACCCCGUGAACCUUUACUAUAGCUUGACACUGAACAUUGAGCCUUGAUGUGUAGGAUAGGUGGGAGGCUUUGAAGCGUGGACGCCAGUCUGCGUGGAGCCAACCUUGAAAUACCACCCUUUAAUGUUUGAUGUUCUAACGUUGGCCCCUGACCGGGGUUGCGGACAGUGUCUGGUGGGUAGUUUGACUGGGGCGGUCUCCUCCCAAAGCGUAACGGAGGAGCACGAAGGUUAGCUAAUCCUGGUCGGACAUCAGGAGGUUAGUGCAAUGGCAUAAGCUAGCUUGACUGCGAGCGUGACGGCGCGAGCAGGUGCGAAAGCAGGUCAUAGUGAUCCGGUGGUUCUGAAUGGAAGGGCCAUCGCUCAACGGAUAAAAGGUACUCCGGGGAUAACAGGCUGAUACCGCCCAAGAGUUCAUAUCGACGGCGGUGUUUGGCACCUCGAUGUCGGCUCAUCACAUCCUGGGGCUGAAGUAGGUCCCAAGGGUAUGGCUGUUCGCCAUUUAAAGUGGUACGCGAGCUGGGUUUAGAACGUCGUGAGACAGUUCGGUCCCUAUCUGCCGUGGGCGCUGGAGAAUUGAGGGGGGCUGCUCCUAGUACGAGAGGACCGGAGUGGACGCAUCACUGGUGUUCGGGUUGUCAUGCCAAUGGCACUGCCCGGUAGCUAAAUGCGGAAGAGAUAAGUGCUGAAAGCAUCUAAGCACGAAACUUGCCCCGAGAUGAGUUCUCCCUGAGACUUUAAGUCUCCUGAAGGAACGUUGAAGACGAUGACGUUGAUAGGCCGGGUGUGUAAGCGCAGCGAUGCGUUGAGCUAACCGGUACUAAUGAACCGUGAGGCUUAACCUU